CUGCCGCGUGAGUGAUGAAGGACCUUAGGGUUUGUAAAACUCUUUCGGCGGGACGAUAAUGACGGUACCCGCAGAAGAAGCUCCGGCUAACUUCGUGC
rnacentral:rRNA from 1 species